AUUGAGUAUGAGAAGAAGAAGAAGAAGAAAACAGUUUGGAAUAGAGAAACCAACGUAGGUUUGGUUGAUACCGAGAAGAGGAAUAGUAAGAACAUUGUUUCAGAAGUUGUCAUGGAUCCUGUUAGUUGCGCU